rnacentral:misc_RNA from 1 species
CUUCUGUAGAGAACACCAAGCUGAAAACAAAAACAUCUCCUAUCAUCUCUAUUUUUUUUUUCUUUGUUUAGUUUUCGUUUCUUCUUUCUCUUAUUAGAUUUAAGCACAACAAGAACAUAAACAACUAUGAUGCAGGCUAUCUCCCCUCCAUCUCCCCUCAAGUUAUUAGUCCCAACUCGGCCUCGACUCGCUCCAGUCACCCCCAAUAAACUCAUUCUUCAUUGCAUCUAUCGAUCGGAUUCUGUCCAAUUGCCUAAUGGAGUUGGCUCCAGUCGAGCUGAUUGGCAAAGCUCUUGCGCCAUAUUAGCGAGCAAAGUCGUUUCCCAAGAGCAACCUACUGAUAAAUCUAGUGAAGAUUCACGUGGUGCUGAUCAUGUUGCUGCUGUGAACGGGCACAAGGCCUCUAUUGAUCUUGGUUUAGUCCCUCUUAACAAAGGUUCUAGUGAUGGCCACUCCAAUAACAAAAAGCCAACGAAGUCGUUAAGUAUCACCGACCUCUCACCGGCUCCUAUGCACGGCUCUCAGCUCCGUGUUGCUUAUCAAGGGGUUCCCGGCGCAUAUUCGGAGGCUGCAGCAGGAAAAGCUUAUCCAAACUGUGAAGCCAUCCCAUGUGAUCAAUUUGACGUGGUUUUCCAGGCGGUGGAGCUUUGGAUAGCAGAUCGUGCAGUUUUACCAGCUGAGAAUUCUCUAGGUGGAUCAAUUCAUAGAAAUUAUGAUUUGCUCCUUCGCCACAACCUCCACAUCGUCGGUGAAGUA